UAGUUUCUAGAAACAGAACCAUCAUAAGCCAAGGCAGAGAGGCAUGAGGGAGAGGAGUAAUGACUUCAGUGUGACUGCAGCACACAUGUAAAGGGAGGGCUGAUGGAGAUGAGGCUGGACCGGUGGUCCUGAAUAUAGAAUUCUGAGUUAAUAAAUUGUGGUUAUGACUUUUCCCUGCUUAAAAAACAACAACAACAACAAAAACCUUGGUUCCUUAAUUGCAUGCAAAGUGUAUUCUUUUGAGACAAAAUUUAUUUCAUUUUUAGUUCUGUUUGGCUGCAUAUUUUUCAAAAUAAUUAUACUCCUUGGGGAGCAGUAAAUGACAGACAUGGGUUUUAUAUAAAUGUCAAUUACGAUUUGAUCAUAAAUCAUGAAGCAAUCACCUGCUUUUACCAGGGGACACGGAGUGUGGGGAAAGAUGGCAAGUGCUGAGCACCUGAAGAGAAAUCAACUCCUCUUCUGGGAGGGCACGGGUAGAUGACCUCAUCGAUGUGCGUCAGGUUACAAUUUGAAAAGGCGGUGGAGAUAUGUAUGAAGGCUUCAAGCUUGGGCAUCUGACUGGCCAUAAGCAAGAGCUGCUGGGUGGCAGUGACGUUAAGUUGCACGGCAUGUCUGCAGGAGCUCUUUUGUGUUGGUGGGAAGAAAGACAGCAGAUAACUACCACAAGUAGAAGAAACAAAGUGUUCCCUUGGGUCCUCUGCACUGAUGGCAAACGGGAGCUGGAAAGGCUCAGAGUAUAACCUUUGCUUUUGUAAUAAUGAUACAACCGAAGGACAGAAGAAAUGCUGCAAAUGGGUCCUCAGUGGACACCAGCUCUUCUGAAAGGUUCUUUUGCUGAUGUGAGCCAUUCAUUAAAGGUCAUUUUCACAGAGUUCUUUCAGACUAAGCACCCAGGGCAAAAAAGGAGCUAGGGUGGCUAGGAAGAUGGAAACCAAUCUGAAGAUUGCUCCCAAGUCUCUAGCAGAAUUGGUGGCAUCUCUGCAUUAUCCACGGGAAAGGAUGGGAAGAGUGAUGAUCCUAAUCCAGAAGUGGACAUUGCCUUCCCUUCCUAAGGAAGUGGUCAUCACUGGCAAAUGUACCACCUGGCGAGCAGGGCAAGACAAUCGGAGCUUACAGGAUGCAGUUUCUCAGGGGAGGCCAUGCAAGGCGGUGGGGACAGUGUGAGCUUUAGAGCUCCUGUGGCAAUCCUGGGAAGUCUCUGUGGUUGUUCCUAUUUUGAACACUGCAAACUGGAGCUUACGAGUGUUUCAGCAUGGAAAGCAGCAGUGGAGAGCUUUGAAUGAAUGAAACAGUGCUGCGGCCUGGUUGUGGACUUCCUGUCUGUCCCAUCAGGUCCCCCCCGAGAUCUGCUGGAUGGCGGUGGGUGGAUCAUGCAGAACACAACUCCAGGGACUGGCCCUGACAUCAGAGCUCAUGAAGAAGAAGAAAAAAACAAGUAGAAAAAUCAGCACCCUGCCUUGUCACCUCCAG